rnacentral:rRNA from 1 species
AACGUAGGUCCCGAGCGUUAUCCGGAUUUACUGGGCGUAAAGCGUGUUCAGGCGGUCUAGCAAGUCGGGCAUGAAAUCUCUCGGCUCAACCGGGAGGGGUUGUCCGAUACUGCUGGGCUUGAGGGCAGCAGAGGGUGGUGGAAUUCCGGGUGUAGUGGUGUAAUGCGUAGAUAUCCGGAGGAACACCAGUGGCGAAGGCGGCCACCUGGGCUGUACCUGACGCUCAAACACGAAAGCUAGGGGAGCGAACGGG